UACGUAGGGGGCAAGCGUUGUCCGGAUUUAUUGGGCGUAAAGAGCGUGUAGGCGGUCUGGUAGGUCCGUUGUGAAAACUCGAGGCUCAACCUCGAGACGCCGAUGGAAACCCUCAGACUAGAGUCCGGAAGAGGAGAGUGGAAUUCCUGGUGUAGCGGUGAAAUGCGCAGAUAUCAGGAAGAACACCCGUGGCUAAGGCGGCUCUCUAGUACGUGACUGACGCUGAGGCGCGAAAGCGUGGGGAGCAAACAGG
rnacentral:rRNA from 1 species